CAGAGCAGGAAGUCGGCCGACACACUGACUCACCCUCACAGGUUUCUGCCAAAUGGGGAAAAGGGAAGUGAAAGUAUUUAUUUAACCUCCUGCUCGGCUACAGACACUGUGUUUCUCCUCCUUUUUCACUCCAAGGGGUUCUCAGCUUUUCUGAAUUGUGGCAGAGGGUUGGAGGAGAGGCCUGACAAGCAGCAAGACCUGCAGGACCAGGGAAGAAGGAAGUUAACCCAGGGUUUAGCACUAAUGACAAAAUCUGCUCUCCAUAAUUGGAAAUAUCCCACUAACCUAAGGAAAGAAAUAGAGACGCGGUUUCACCAUGUUAGCCAGGAUGGUCUCAAUCUCCUGACCUCGUGAUCCACCCACCUCAGCCUCCCAAAGUGCUGGGAUUACAGGUGUGAGACACCACGCCCGGCCUGGCUGGAGUAGUUUUUGAACAGGAGAUUGAGUGAUGGUAUCGAAUCCUGUACUGGUUUCAGGAACUUACUGAAGCAGCCACCUCUUUCCAAGGGAUGCAGGCCCUGGUCUUCCCUCUGCCGCCUUCCUGCUGUGACUUCCCUGAGCAUCUAAUUAGGGAAUAAAUGGUACCCUACUGGGUAUAUGUGAGAGUUGGGUGUCAUAGGAAACAGUCAUGACAACUUUAGUUCCUGGACUCCAAUUCCAGAGUUUUGUGAAGCCUCUCAGGGCCAUCUACCCUUCUUUCCGGUGGAAUGUGCUUCUCCCAGCUCAGCAGAGCAGAGUGUGUGCUGACGCCCAGGACUCACCAUGGUAGAUCCCAGCUGAGAGGUCAUUACCAAGAGCUCACGACCUCCCAGCUCAAGACAAUUAGAGCACCAGGUCCUGGAAGCGCCCAGAGACAUGGCACACUCCCCCAGGGUAGGAACCCACCCAGGAUCCAGCGUCUCUUUGAAUGAGGGUGUACUGGAUUGACACCAUGACAGUAUAGCCCCGGUCCUUGUUCUUGGUUGUCCAGUGGUGUAAGGCAGACCCCCUUCCUUCUAGAACAGUGACCAACUCAGACUUUGCCUCUGCAGCACAGGGCAAUAGGGAAACAGUUACCUGGUCCCAUGGACCCAAAGAACUUGGCAGCCCCCAACUCUGCGGCCUCUCUGACUGGCCUGGAAUUGUCCCUAUUCCUCCAUUAGACAGCAGUGGUCCAGGCCUUGAGUGUUCCAGGUGGGUUCCCUUGGUCAGCUAUGAUUUUCUUGGCUGUUCAGCCUCCUCCAUCCCCCUUUCCUAACAGUUCCCAGUUCCUUUGGGUGAAGGAGCUCUCCCUUCUGGGCGCAAGAAUGAGGGGAUGUUAAACACAGUGCUGGCCCUUGAGCAGGCCAGGCCAGCCAGAUCUGUUUGGUGGGAGUUGGGCUCUUGAGUGAAGUAUUGUGAGGAGUUGUUUGUUUGUUUUAAAAAAGAAAAAAAAAGAUUGGUAAAAUUAUUAACAUCCUUAAGGACACAGCUGCAUCAUUCCUGGUGCUCAAUGCCUGGAACCACUCUGAUUCCUGCCUUUUUCCAGGGCUAUUUGCCAGCUCAGUACCCCUGCCUUCCAGUCCUUUCUGUGAGGCACUGUGUAUUUCAUCAUCAAAGUCACUUUUUGUCUCACCUAGAUAAAUUGGGUCUCUCUUGACCCAACUGAUGGCAAAGAGCCUGAAUUGAUACAAGGGUGUUUGUGUUAAUCUUAGAUUUGUUUAUUUAUUACUUAUGUAUUGCAUGCAAGGCCAGAAGCUUUCUAAGUGAACAAUAAAUAAUAACUUAUUAAUCUUCACAAUAAUCCAGAGAGUUACCUCCAUUUUACAGAUGAAACAGUGCAGGGGAAGGAAGAAUAGCUUGCCCACGCACACACUGCCAACAAGUAGACACGUGCAGGAGCUAAGCUUCUACCUACAUGGGCUACAUUCAGAGUCUGUGCUCUUAAAUGCUAGCCUACGCUGCCUGUCAGUACAAGUUAGUGUUGCUUACAAGACAAAAAUCACUAACUAGCCAAUAACAAUUCAGUCUGGAUGAAAAAAUGAAAGGUAUGGCAAUAAUGAUGUAGAGCUGUAUUUAUUGAUGUGACAAUGUCCAUUGUAUAUUAUUAA